UAGGGCGCGAGCGUUGUCCGGAUUUAUUGGGCGUAAAGGGCUCGUAGGCGGUUUGUCGCGUCGGGAGUGAAAACACCGGGCUUAACUCGGUGCUUGCUUUCGAUACGGGCAGACUGGAGGUAUGCAGGGGGAGAACGGAAUUCCUGGUGUAGCGGUGAAAUGCGCAGAUAUCAGGAGGAACACCGGUGGCGAAGGCGGUUCUCUGGGCAUUACCUGACGCUGAGGAGCGAAAGUGUGGGGAGCGAACAGG
rnacentral:rRNA from 1 species